rnacentral:rRNA from 1 species
AUUGAACGCUGGCGGCAGGCUUAACACAUGCAAGUCGAGCGGAAACGGAAUACAGCUUGCUGUAUAGACGUCGAGCGGCGGACGGGUGAGUAAUGCGUAGGAAUAUACCCACUAGGAGGGGGAUAGCCCGAGGAAACUCGGAUUAAUACCGCGUACUCGUAUGCCUGGGAGGGUAUACGUAAAAGAUGGCCUCUUCUUGAAAGCUAUCGCUAGUGGAUUAGCCUACGUGAGAUUAGCUAGUUGGUGGGGUAAGAGCCUACCAAGGCGACGAUCUCUAGCUGGUCUGAGAGGACGGACAGCCACACUGGAACUGAGACACGGUCCAG